CUGCACCUCCAUCUCCCACAACCUAGGUAACAGCUUUGAGACUCACUAAAAGUUGAACCCCCUGAAUGAUGUAGGCUAUGGGGCCACAUAAGACUUUGUCCAUCCAGGGUUACAUUGAAAGACAACUUUAAACUAAAAAACCAACAUUUUUCACACAACUCCAGGUUGUUACUACAAGUGUCAUCAAGGGAUAACUACAAGUAGAAGCACCAUUUUUGGAUGGAAAAAACCCUUCAGGAAAGUAUACGUAUCACAUGUAACAUGUAGUGUAACAAAGUAUGAACAGUAAGGUUUUUACAUACAGUAGUACAUAUUACAUACGUACAUAACUUUUUUUUACAGGAAUUUCCAACCAAGUUUGAUUAUGUACAUAUGUACAUGUUAUAAACCACUGUACGUAUGGUUACUGUAUGUAACUUACUAAACAUACAUAACAUGACUUAACUUUGAUACUUUUUUGGUACAUUCCAGAA